UGCUUACCUCCCUCUGCAGGAGGCUGGUUCCUUGUAUAAGAUCAACCUCGAAGCUCAGCCCUCUGUUUUCUUUCAUGCCCACACAUCUAGGCAAAUAGAGUACCCAUUUAACAACCUCAAACAGUGAGUCUCUGUGUAGAUGAAAAAUGGGAGUCCAGAGUGGGCAGCCUAUUUGCAGGCAAAGGGCCAGGAAACCGUUGCUGUGAUUACUCAAAAGAGCCCAACUCAAGAACACUGCUCAUGAAUUCUUGAUGGUGGAACCAGGGGUCUACAAACUUUUAAGCAAUCUGCAGUCCUGCCCACCUUCCGGAAGCCUGGGCACCUGGGCACCCAGCUCCAGGGGGAUUAGCUUUCACUACACUGGACUCCUCAAUCAAACAACUGACCCACAACGCCCUAGAGUUCACCAUCUUGCAACACAAAGCUUGAAUAUACGAACAACCUCCUAUUAUUUAUUGUAGACUGGAAACAACUCGAGAGUAGAGAAACCAUAUCCCCAAGAAGGAGAACAUGCCACCGAGAUAAAUCCAGCCACCUUUAAGAAGUAUGUCAAAGGGCAAUGGGAUGGCUACCAUACAAUCUCCCACUGGAAACACACCGUCUCUGGAUACUUGAGCAGAAUCUAAUUGCAUCCCCAAAUACCUCAUAUCAGAAAAUUCUUAAGGAAAACUUUGAAAAAAUAA